CCUACGUGGGACAGCAGUGAGGAAUAUUGGUCAAUGGGCGCGAGCCUGAACCAGCCAAGUAGCGUGAAGGAUGACUGCCCUACGGGUUGUAAACUUCUUUUAUAAAGGAAUAAAGUGAGGCACGGGUGCCUUUUUGUAUGUACUUUAUGAAUAAGGAUCGGCUAACUCCGUGCCAGCAGCCGCGGUAAUACGGAGGAUCCGAGCGUUAUCCGGAUUGAUUGGGUUUAAAGGGAGCGUAGAUGGGUUGUUAAGUCAGUUGUGAAAGUUUGCGGCUCAGACGUAAAAUUGCAAUUGAUACUGGCAGCCUUGAGUACAGUUGAGGUAGGCGGAAUUCGUGGUGUAGCGGUGAAAUGCUUAGAUAUCACGAAGAACUCCGAUUGCGAAGGCAGCCUACUAAACUGCCACUGACAUUGAUGCUCGAAAGUGUGGGUAUCAAACAGGAUUAGAUACCCUAGUAGUC
rnacentral:rRNA from 1 species